AGCUUUUUAGUUUAAUGAUGAAUAUUUGUUUGUGGGGCAAAGGGAUUUAUGGGCUU
rnacentral:tRNA from 1 species